rnacentral:rRNA from 1 species
UACGUAGGGUGCAAGCGUUAAUCGGAAUUACUGGGCGUAAAGCGUGCGCAGGCGGUUUUGUAAGUCUGACGUGAAAUCCCCGGGCUCAACCUGGGAAUUGCGUUGGAGACUGCAAGGCUGAGAAUCUGGCAGAGGGGGGGUAGAAAUUCCACGUGUAGCAGUGAAAUGCGUAGAGAUGUGGAGGGACACCGAUGGCGAAGGCAGCCCCCUGGGUCAAGA